rnacentral:rRNA from 1 species
GACGAACGCUGGCGGCGUGCUUAACACAUGCAAGUCGAGCGGUAAGGCCCUUUCGGGGUACACGAGCGGCGAACGGGUGAGUAACACGUGGGUGACCUGCCCUCAGCUCUGGGAUAAGCCUGGGAAACUGGGUCUAAUACUGGAUAUGACUCCACGGUGCAUGUCGUGGGGUGGAAAGCCUUGUGCGGCUGAGGAUGGGCCCGCGGCCUAUCAGCUUGUUGGU